GAAAUGCGAUAAGUAAUGUGAAUUGCAGAAUUCAGUGAAUCAUCGAAUCUUUGAACGCACAUUGCGCCCGUCAGUAUUCUGGCGGGCAUGCCUGUUCGAGCGUCAUUUCAACCAUCAAGCCCCCGGCUUGUGUUGGGGACCUGCGGCUGCCCGCAGGCCCUGAAAAACAGUGGCGGGCUCGCUGUCACACCGAGCGUAGUAGCAUACAUUCUCGCUCAGGGCGUGCUGCGGGUUCCGGCCGUUAAACGACCUUCAUAACCCAAGGUUGACCUCGGAUCAGGUAGGAAGACCCGCUGAACUUAAGC
rnacentral:misc_RNA from 1 species